rnacentral:rRNA from 1 species
ACGGGAGGCAGCAGUGGGGGAUAUUGCACAAUGGGGGAAACCCUGAUGCAGCGACGCCGCGUGAGUGAUGAAGUAUUUCGGUACGUAAAGCUCUAUCAGCAGGAAAGAUAAUGACGGUACCUGACUAAGAAGCACCGGCUAAAUACGUGCCAGCAGCCGCGGUAAUACGUAUGGUGCAAGCGUUAUCCGGAUUUACUGGGUGUAAAGGGAGCGCAGACGGCAUGGCAAGCCAGAUGUGGAAGGCAGGGGCUCAACUCCUGGACUGCAUUUGGAACUGUCAAGCUAGAGUAUCGGAGAGGUAAGUGGAAUUCCUAGUGUAGCGGUGAAAUGCGUAGAUAUUAGGAGGAACACCAGUGGCGAAGGCGGCUUACUGGACGAUAACUGACGUUGAGGCUCGAAAGCGUGGGGAGCAAACAGGAUUAGAUACCCUGGUA